rnacentral:rRNA from 1 species
AUGAUUUCUCCCAAUUCAACAAAGUCAGGUACUACUCAUGUUCUUUCAUGCUAUGGAGCUACUCGAGGCAGCAGAACAUUAUCCCACACGAAGAUGGGGAUGGCCAUGCCCGUGCUGAUGCCGUCGGCCGUCGGUGAGAGCAUCACCGUCAACAACGGCUCCAGCUACCUCUCCAGGAGCUUCUCCAUGAGCUCCUCGGGUGACACCAACUCCAACAUCAUGUUCUUCAUGCCCGGAAGCAAAAAAGCGAAGGUGCUCAUCGACAGCGACGAUGGCAUGGUCACCAGCCUCAGCAAAAUCGAAUCCCAAGUAGGACAAGCUUCACAUUUUGGCAUGUCAACCACGUCUUUAGACAUGUCCGGCAUGGACGACUAUCUGCAGCUGCAGCAAUACUUCAUCGCCUACACAGUCUGCACCAAGCGUGGCUGCGCCACUCACCCACGAAGCAUCGCUGAGAGGAUUAGAAAGAAGAGCAAGGAAUAG